CAUAGACGAGACGAUGUCGGAUUUUCGAUAAGGAUUUAUAUGAUAAUUGAUUGGUGAUAUGUUAUGUGGAAUAUGAUUGACUAUAUGUUAGAGUUAAAGCAUGCUUAUGUGUUACGUGGUAUGUGAUAAGUUUAAAGGGGUAUAUAAGUGGGUAUCGAUAUACGUGAUAUGUAUAUGCGAUAUAUUGUUUAGUGACUAUAGUAUUAUCUUAUUCUCGUAAAGGGUUUGGACGAGACGUGGAUGACCGAAGACGUUCAGAAGGACAAGUGGUAUUGCAAAGCAAAUAAGGGAGGAAUCGAGUAAGCGAAGCGAUGUGACGAAUAGAGUAUAGCUAGAGAUGGUCUAGAGAUUACGAGAUGCAUAGAUUGUGAAAGUUGAAAGAUGAGAAUGAGCUGUGAAACUGGAGUCAGAUUUAAGAAAGGCUGAAAGAUGAGAUGAUUGAUUGAGAUUGGGAAUAAGGCUAAUGCUAGGCGAGGAGACAGAGUUGAGGAUCCAGUGGUCGAGGAGUGUUCAGGAAAGUUGAUGAGGUUGGUGCAAGCUGAAAUAGUUGACAGUGAUUCUUCUUAUCGAAGAUGAUCUGACUUGGUAAGAGAUGUUGUGUAGUAUUAGUGGUGGAUUCUAAUUUCAAUACUGUAACCUGGAAGCGAUCCUGUUGUUUUGGGGGUGAAGAUGUUCUCUUUCGGAAUCAAUUAUUAAAGUUUAAAUGUUAUCAUUCAAUUCUUUUAUUAUGGUUUUCAAGUUUGAAAUUCA